GUCUACGGCUAUGCCACCCUGAAUGCAUCUGAUCGCGGAAGCUAAGCAGGGUUGGGCCCGGUUAGUACUUGGGUGAGAGAAGCCACUUAAUUGUAGCAG
ensembl:rRNA 5S_rRNA 5S ribosomal RNA